UACGAAGGGGGCUAGCGUUGCUCGGAAUCACUGGGCGUAAAGGGUGCGUAGGCGGGUCUUUAAGUCAGGGGUGAAAUCCUGGAGCUCAACUCCAGAACUGCCUUUGAUACUGAGGAUCUUGAGUUCGGGAGAGGUGAGUGGGAACUGCGAGUGUAGGAGGUGAAAUUCGUAGAUAUUCGCAAGAACACCGGUGGCGAAGGCGGCCAACUGGACCAUUCUGACGCUGAGGCGCGAAAGCGUGGGGAGCAAACAGG
rnacentral:rRNA from 1 species